GGAUCAAUAUGCUGGUCGUGCCUUUGGUACGUACUGGCAUUAUUGGUUUCUCCUUUCUGAUGAAUCACGAUGUCAUUAAUUUGGUGUCAUGGGGAAUCAGGACUGUUACUUUGAAAAAUUAGAGUGUUUAAAGCAGGCUUACGCUUGAAUACAUUAGCAUGGAAUAAUGAAAUAGGACGUUUAAUUCUAUUUUGUUGGUUUCUAGGAUUGACGUAAUGAUUA
rnacentral:rRNA from 1 species